CCUACCCACCGAUUGCAUAUCGUUCCCACCGACCCCAAUUUUCAUAGCAAUCUCCGAUCGCAUUUUUCUCUCAAUCUCCGAUCAAAUUUCCGAUGGCCUUGGAGUGGGUUGUUCUCGGGUACGCCGCCGGAGCGGAGGCGAUCAUGCUCCUUCUCCUGACGGUUCCUGGCCUGGAUGCUCUCAGGAAGGGCCUAAUCACCGUCACUCGGAGCCUUCUCAAGCCGUUCCUGUCGGUGGUACCUUUCUGCCUCUUCCUGUUAAUGGAUAUCUACUGGAAAUACGAGACUCGGCCUUCUUGUGAGUCCGAUUCGUGUUCCCCGUCGGAGCAUCUGCGUCACCAGAAAUCGAUAAUGAAGUCUCAGCGCAACGCGCUCCUGAUCGCGUCCGCGUUGAUUUUCUACUGGCUUCUCUACUCCGUCACCGGUCUCGUUGUCCGGAUCGAUCAAUUGAACAAGAGGAUCGAGAAAUUGAAGGCUCAGGAUUGAUUUGGAGGAGGAUUGCGUUGGUUUGGGGGUGAAGUGACCUACGCUCUACUCCUUUUGUUGGGUUGAUCUGAUGAUUGCUGAGAACUUCACUUGGCUUUUGCUUAGAAGAAAAAGAUGCAAACUUGAUUCGGUAGCUUUAGUUUAUUGAAAUCGGCGUACAUUAAUAAUCAGCCCUUUGUAGGGGCGUGAAGCUAGUUGGAUGAGAUUACACUCAAGGUAUAUCUCGAGCUGUACCCGAGUUCUAGCUUGCGCAUAUUUCAUCGUAUAUUGAUGUUGAAGAUACAUGAAUUUCUUGCUUUCUUCUGUUGUAGUGAAUGAAUAUAUGCACGUUCGGGUUGUUACAAAUAAAUGUUUUACAUUUGUUUUGAUGA